rnacentral:rRNA from 1 species
UACAGAGGUCUCAAGCGUUGUUCGGAUUCAUUGGGCGUAAAGGGUGCGUAGGCGGCGCGGUAAGUCGGGUGUGAAAUCUCGGAGCUUAACUUCGAAACUGCAUUCGAUACUGCCGUGCUUGAGGACUGGAGAGGAGACUGGAAUUUACGGUGUAGCGGUGAAAUGCGUAGAUAUCGUAAGGAAGACCAGUGGCGAAGGCGGGUCUCUGGACAGUUCCUGACGCUGAGGCACGAAGGCCAGGGGAGCAAACGGG